rnacentral:rRNA from 1 species
AACGAACGCUGGCGGCAGGCUUAACACAUGCAAGUCGAACGCCCCGCAAGGGGAGUGGCAGACGGGUGAGUAACGCGUGGGAAUCUACCCAUCUCUACGGAAUAACUCAGGGAAACUUGUGCUAAUACCGUAUACGCCCUUAGGGGGAAAGAUUUAUCGGAGAUGGAUGAGCCCGCGUUGGAUUAGCUAGUUGGUGGGGUAAAGGCCUACCAAGGCGACGAUCCAUAGCUGGUCUGAGAGGAUGAUCAGCCACACUGGGACUGAGACACGGCCCAGACUCCUACGGGAGGCAGCAGUGGGGAAUAUUGGACAAUGGGCGCAAGCCUGAUCCAGCCAUGCCGCGUGAGUGAUGAAGGCCCUAGGGUUGUAAAGCUCUUUCACCGGUGAAGAUAAUGACGGUAACCGGAGAAGAAGCCCCGGCUAACUUCGUG